rnacentral:rRNA from 1 species
GGGUAACCUGCCCAAGAGACUGGGAUAACACCUGGAAACAGAUGCUAAUACCGGAUAACAACACUAGACGCAUGUCUAGAGUUUAAAAGAUGGUUCUGCUAUCACUCUUGGAUGGACCUGCGGUGCAUUAGCUAGUUGGUAAGGUAACGGCUUACCAAGGCAAUGAUGCAUAGCCGAGUUGAGAGACUGAUCGGCCACAUUGGGACUGAGACACGGCCCAAACUCCUACGGGAGGCAGCAGUG